rnacentral:tRNA from 1 species
UCCCUGAUGGCUCAGCUGGUAAAGAAUCUGCCUGCAAUGCAGGAGACCCUGGUUCGAUUCCUGGCUCAGGAA